UCACAACGUCUUAAUGCCCCUCACAACCAUGGCCGCGUACAGGAGCGUCGGCGUUGGAAGGAAUUUUUCUGCACUUCUAGCAAGAUCGUAUCCUGUGUGCAGUUAUCAUGGAGCAGGGCUCACCAGACCGCCUCUUCACAAAGUGGCCAGAAGUCCCGUUCCACAACAAACAAGCACUAUGUUUAUCAGAAACAUGUUUAUUCAGACCCAAGACACUCCGAACCCAAACAGCCUGAAGUUUCUUCCCGGUCGCGUUGUGCUGGAAGCAGGGACCAUGGACUUCGCUGGGCCUAGAGAGGCUUAUUGUUCACCCUUGGCAAGGCAGUUGUUCAGAAUAGAUGGAGUCAAGGGCGUCUUCUUCGGUCCCGACUUUAUAACCAUUACUAAGUCUGAUGGCCAAACGGAGUGGAGAGUGAUCAAACCGGACGUCUUCGCCGCUAUUAUGGACUUCUUCACCUCCGGACUUCCUGUUGUCAAUGAGGCAGACGCUCCAAACGCAGACACAGCUCCUUCUGAGGAUGACGAUGAGGUGGUGGCUAUGAUUAAAGAACUGCUUGACACACGCAUUAGGCCCACGGUGCAGGAGGAUGGAGGUGACGUGUUGUAUCGGGGGUUCGAGGACGGUAUCGUGAAGCUGAAGCUGCAGGGCUCCUGCACCAGCUGUCCCAGCUCCAUCAUCACGCUGAAGAGCGGCAUCCAGAACAUGCUGCAGUUCUACGUCCCCGAGGUGGAAGGAGUCGAGCAGGUGAGGACGUGAGAAAGCCUGCGAGCAAUCAUGACACGGUGCUCUAGUUGUCCUCAAUGACGGCCUUUCUUCUGUGGAACAUUUGAAGAACGUGGGUGAAGGAAGAGGAUGUGAACGUUGAAAAGGAAGUCCAGUGAUGUGAGGCUCGGCUGACUGAUGCCAUUGCUUUCUACAUAAUCAAAUACCCAGCACUCCUCUUUGUCAUCAACGUACAGUAACGUAGAAGGAUGCUUGAGUUUUCUAGAGACUCACACGGCUGUAAGAAGAAUGGGCAAAAGCGUGUGUCCUCACACUCCUUGAAACACAUAUUAGCUACAGACCUUCUUGAGACGGCAAGCGUGGAGGAAAUGUUUUUAGCCUGCGCUUGUGCGAAGGCGGUGUUUGUUGGUGGGUCGGUCAUCCGUAAUAUUUUAUAGAUUAUCACUCGUCGCACUGGUUAAGACAUAAAGCUGAAUUUCAUGCAUUUGUGAAUAAGUUGCAAUAUGCAUUAGACGUAUGUAAAUAUCUUUAAUUGCUCUGCAGGAAUCCUUAUUGUAUCAUGGGUCAGAUCUACAUUUUUAAAAGAUUGCAGUUAUUUAAUAGAAUAAAUUUGUAAGCUUGAUCAAUAACGAGUCUUGUUUUUCAUUCGACGGGAUACACUAAAUAAAUAAACAAACACAAAACUUGAAAUAAUUUUCAUUCACAAUUGCAAGUACUGUUCUGUUGGAGUUAGUACUUUGUAAGAUGAAUCACUGAAUGUGAAGUACAUCUAAAUAAACAAUAUUAAAAAUUACUUAAAAAUA